GCUGGCGGCAGGCCUAACACAUGCAAGUCGAACGGAGUUAUAUUGUAGCUUGCUAUGGUAUAACUUAGUGGUAGACGGGUGAGUAAUGUAUAGGAAUCUACCUAGUAGUACGGAAUAAUUGUUGGAAACGGCAACUAAUACCGUAUACGCCCUACGGGGAAAAAUUUAUUGCUAUUAGAUGAGCCUAUAUUAGAUUAGCUAGUUGGUGGAGUAAUAGCCUACCAAGGCAAUGAUCUAUAGCUGAUCUGAGAGGAUGAUCAGCCACACUGGAACUGAGAUACGGUCCAGACUCCUACGGGAGGCAGCAGUGGGGAAUAUUGGACAAUGGGCGAAAGCCUGAUCCAGCCAUGCCGCAUGAGUGAAGAAGGCCUUUGGGUUGUAAAGCUCUUUUAGUGAGGAAGAUAAUGACGGUACUCACAGAAGAAGUCCUGGCUAACUCCGUGCCAGCAGCCGCGGUAAUACGGAGAGGGCUAGCGUUAUUCGGAAUUAUUGGGCGUAAAGGGCGCGUAGGCGGAUUAGUAAGUUAGAAGUGAAAUCCCAAGGCUCAACCUUGGAAUUGCUUUUAAAACUGCUAAUCUAGAGAUUGAAAGAGGAUAGAGGAAUUCCUAGUGUAGAGGUGAAAUUCGUAAAUAUUAGGAGGAACACCAGUGGCGAAGGCGUCUAUCUGGUUCAAAUCUGACGCUGAGGCGCGAAGGCGUGGGGAGCAAACAGGAUUAGAUACCCUGGUAGUCCACGCUGUAAACGAUGAAUGUUAAAUAUGGGAAGUUUUACUUUCUGUAUUACAGCUAACGCGUUAAACAUUCCGCCUGGGGACUACGGUCGCAAGAUUAAACUCAAAGGAAUU
rnacentral:rRNA from 1 species